rnacentral:lncRNA from 1 species
AAGGCGAGAGAAUAGGAUGGUUGUCGUGUUCGGCGGCAGCGGCGGUACAGAGUACGGUAGUCCUGUUGUGGCGGUAGACUUCAAGAAGGGAGAAGAAGCAUGCGACGGCGGACUGUAAUGGGGGAGAAGAAGAAACACGUUUCUGCGUUUGUUUUUUUUAAUUUUUUUUUAGAGAGAGGGAUAGGUUAGGAUUGAUACCAUAUAAGAUAAUGGAAAUCGUGUCCUUCUCAUUGAUCUGAAUAGAAUAUAUAUACAUCAAUGUGUAAUAUUUGGUCAACUAUCUAAUUAUGAUACAACGUAAUUAUAGGAAACUAAUUAUGACUAAUUAUAACAAAAUAUUGUAUUCUAUCAAUCAAUGUAGUUUUUGGUCUUGCAAG